rnacentral:sRNA from 1 species
AAAAUAUAUAUGCUGUAUAUUAUUUGUUACAAUUAUAUCCUGUCUCAUACACUCAGCUGGGGUCUCAUUUGUGCUAGAACUGUCAAUUUCUUUUUCCUAAAAAAAAAUCCUGUCAGGCUCUUGCUUUAAUUCCAGAAAUUAGAAUCAAAUUCAUUACCACAAGUUCCAAUUUUGGUCCAUGUUAAACCACAGAGAAACCAUCAGCCUAAAAAUUAAUUCUAUUUGUUAACCAGGACACCUAUUGUAAUGAAAUGUAGAUAUAAUCUAUUGUUCAAUAUCUAAGUGUAUAUGCCUUCAUUAAUAAAAUGAUACGGUUGU